rnacentral:rRNA from 1 species
AUGUGUUUCUUGGAUCUCAAUCUUACUUGGAUAACUGUGGUAAUUCUAGAGCUAAUACAUGCAAGAAGCCCUGACCUUACGGGAUGGGUGCACUUAUUAGAGCAAAACCAAUCGACUUCGGUCGUCCAAUUGGUGAAUCUGAAUAACUGAGCGGAUCGCACUGGUCUUAGUACCGGCGACAUAUCCUUCAAGUGUCUGCCUUAUCAACUUUCGAUGGUAGUUUAUACGCCUACCAUGGUUGUAACGGGUAACGGAAAAUCAGGGUUUGAUUCCGGAGAGGGCGCCUGAGAAAUGGCGACCACUUCUAAGGAAGGCAGCAGGCGUGUAACUUACCCACUCUCAGCACGAGGAGGUAGUGACGAAAAAUAUCGAGCUGGCGGUUUCAUACUGCCAGCAUCGGAAUGAGAACAAUGUAAACGUGUUAUCGAGUAACUAGCAGAGGGCAAGUCUGGUGCCAGCAGCCGCGGUAAUUCCAGCUCUGCAAGUGUAUGUCAAUGUUGCUGCG